ensembl:lncRNA
CUGGGCACUGUGCUCCACGCAUUCCCACCCUGAUGCUGUCACUCAGUGACACAUUUGUCACCGACAGACUCCCCGUGGGUCCCGAGGUGGGCUGGGGGGUGUCCUGUGAAAGCAACCCCAGUGACAGCCCCCAGCCCUAGAAGGCACAGAUCCUGGAAAACCACCGUUAAUGCUGCCAAAAUCAGCUUCAUCUCAUCACCCUGGGACUCCAUCUGGGGGCUCUGUGGAAGCUUCCCCUGUUUCAAGCUGGUGCUACCCCGUGCUCGUUGACGAUGCUUCAUGCUCUGGCAUACACGCCUGCAGAGGUUAAAUCUGCUCUGCACCCUCACUUCAAGUCAGACCUUUUUCAAGCACACCUGCUGUUGCUAAGCAAGCACCUGCCUGCCUUUGCUUUGCAAGCACCUUUCUUUCCAUGGCCUAUGAAGAGUGGAUACAGGUAAGAGAGAGGUGCUGAAGAGAGGAUGAAAUUAAGAGAGAUGAGCAGGAACAGAUUGGAGAGCUGGAGAGGAGGAAAAAGCAUGCUGGUAAAACAAGAGUAGAAGAGAAGUAGGAAGGAUGCAGGUAAGGAAGAAGUGCAGAAGAUGAAAAGAGCAACAGAGGAAAGGAUCUGAUACAGGCAAGACAGCAGAAGAGGAGAUGAGCAGAAGAGGAGAAGAGAGGAUAAAGCUAUGACAGAUGCUGAGAAGGAUAAGAGCAGAAGGAGAGAAGAACAGACACAGGGAAGAAACAAGAGCAGAAGAGGAGGAGAAGAAAAAGAGAAUGAAGGAAAAAUGGCUAAUUCCCUGCCUAACUGGGAGAAGUUACUUCUGCUGCUUGAGGCUAGGAAGACCAUUCCAUAUUAAGCUUGUCGUAGUGUUUUCUAAACCAUAUGUACUGUAAGAUGCAAGAAACAUAAAGGAAAUUUAACAGUUGUUGUUUUUUCUUUCAGCAUUUGGAA